CACUUUUGCCCUCACUUUGAAAGUUAACCAUUUCACUUAACAAUUGCAUUUUGGUUAAUGAUAUGAUUAAUCAUGGUUUAAGCUCACAUAUAUAUUCUUAAUCACUCUCUAAACAUAUAAAAAAAAUUCAUUCAUCACAAAUCAAGAUCAAAAUCAUCAAAAUUCUCUCAACUCAUUCAAGAACACUCCAAAACCAAAACUCACAAAACUUCAUGAAUCUUUGAUCAAUUUGCAAAGUUCUUGUUGCAUUGAUCUUGCAUUAGCAUAGGCUUCAUCUGUUUGUGCUCAAGAACCUCCAAAACCGUGCCAAUCUCGACUGCAUCU
rnacentral:lncRNA from 1 species